rnacentral:rRNA from 1 species
AACUUUCAACAACGGAUCUCUUGGUUCUCGCAUCGAUGAAGAACGCAGCGAAAUGCGAUAAGUAAUGUGAAUUGUAGAAUUCAGUGAAUCAUCGAAUCUUUGAACGCACAUUGCGCCCCUUGGUAUUCCGAGGGGCAUGCCCGUUCGAGCGUCAUUA